rnacentral:rRNA from 1 species
UACGGAGGGUGCGAGCGUUGUCCGGAAUCACUGGGCGUAAAGGGCGCGUAGGUGGCCUGUGGAAGUCUGCGGUGAAAGCCCGGCGCUCAACGCCGGGUCGGCCGUGGAUACUCUCGGGCUCGAGCUUACUAGAGGCAGAUGGAAUUCCGGGUGUAGCGGUGGAAUGCGUAGAGAUCCGGAAGAACACCGGUGGCGAAGGCGGUCUGCUGGGGUAAUGCUGACACUGAUGCGCGACAGCGGUGGGGAGCAAACAGGG